GAUGAACGCUGGCGGCGUGCCUAAUACAUGCAAGUCGAGCGAACGGACGAGAAGCUUGCUUCUCUGAUGUUAGCGGCGGACGGGUGAGUAACACGUGGAUAACCUACCUAUAAGACUGGGAUAACUUCGGGAAACCGGAGCUAAUACCGGAUAAUAUUUUUGAACCGCAUGGUUCAAAAGUGAAAGACGGUCUUGCUGUCACUUAUAGAUGGAUCCGCGCUGCAUUAGCUAGUUGGUAAGGUAACGGCUUACCAAGGCAACGAUGCAUAGCCGACCGGAGAGAGUGGUCGGCCACACUGGAGCUGGGACACGGUCCAGACUCCUGCGAGAGGCAGCAGUAGGGAAUCUUCCGCAAUGGGCGAAAGCCUGACGGAGCAGCGCCGCGUGAGUGAUGAAGGUCUUCGGAUCGUAAAGCUCUGUUAUUAGGGAAGAACAUAUGUGUAAGUAACUGUGCACAUCUUGACGGUACCUAAUCAGAAAGCCACGGCUAACUACGUG
rnacentral:rRNA from 1 species